CAUCAUAACAAAAAAAAAACUGAAGCGUCGUCGCCGCCGCCGCCACAGCCGGUCCGCUGCUCUUGCUCUAUACCGCUGGCCGGCCGCGGCACCGGUGGUGGUAAGAGUGGUCUUUCAUCCGUACAUCCUCCUGUCCGCAUACUAUCGGUGGCUUCGAGGCUCAUACGUGCUCGCGCUCCUAAUUUGCUUUGCUGCUCAUGUCCAUUCGCUUCCUACCACAUUGGCAGAGGAUGGCGUCGAAUUGCGCCGCGAGGGUACCGUCUCCGCGGCGGGCGCCGCGGCGUGUCUGGGCGGGGCCGUGGGUUUCGGUCCGCCCGGCGAAAUGCGGCGCAUCAUGUAGGUACUUAUGUGUGUGAAACUAUGUAUUCCUUUUGGCUUUGCCGUUGUCUGUGGCUUGAGAUAAAUUGGUCGUGCAUUCGGCAGGAGGACGUGCUGUUGUGUAUUCCUUUGCUUUGUUCUGAUAUUGUACUUAUGUGUGUGAAAUAAAAUAAAAUAAAAUUCUGUGGCCAGCUCUAUACUUCUACAUGAUUGUAAAUUGCUGCCCCGGCUGUGUAUAUUUUUUUCUUUCCUGUGGCGUAGUUAGGCUGUGGAUUAAUCGUGCUAAAAUUACUUUAUUGUGGCAAUCAGUAGUCAUUUAAGUUCAGAGUUCAGACACAUGUGGCAGUAAACGAAUUGUUGUGUUUUGAGAAUUGUUUUAAAAUUUUCAGGGGAAAGUUAAACAGAUUGUUGGCUCUACUCUUUGGGAUUCAUCCAAUGAUGGCAUGGAACUUGUGACAAACUUUGAAUCAGACAAAUCUCUUGCAGAAUUUUAUAAGGAAGAUGAACUUCUUGGAGACUUGGAGGACAUUGUUAUAAUGUUUGGCGCAGAUCCUGCAAGCCAGGCUGUUGCACUGGAGGCACUACGUGCAUAUCCUGGUGAGAAUUUGUUAUCUAGUUGCUGCAAGAACUGUGAUUGCUCAUUGGGUUGGCCUCUUGUGUUGUUUGGCUGUUUGCUCUUAUUAGUCUUAUUUGUAGUAGCACUUAUGUUUGCCCAUUGUCUCUUUAUUGUGUGUUACAGAUCUUGCAAAUGCUAAUGGUAAAAUGCAUAAAAAUCAAAGUAUCUAUUUUAAAAAAUAGAAGAUCGAAAUAGCAGGUAGAGUUUUGAGACUUAUAAAAAAUAUCCUGUUGGUGAGACCUGGAAGUAAAUUUGGUUUUAACAAAGCACUAUAGGCUAACUGAUGAUAGAUGAAAAAAUAUUAUUUAUUUCAUUUCAUCAUCUGUAUUCAACGCAAUAGUUUAAGUACAUAGUCUUUCAAUUGUUAUGGUGACUCUACUUUUUUUUGUUAGAGUUAGACGCAAGAUGAUUCUGCGUAUGCAUACCGGUUUAUGGUAUCCAAGAAACUGUAUUAUGUACCAGUUGAACUUAUUUUUGUCAAAUAUACGACCUUUGUACAGGAUCAUGAAAUUUACAGAACAAAAAGGUAGUACUUGUUAUACAACAAUUAAGCUCAUCAUGUUAAGUGCCAUUCUGAUUUCUGAUAGGCCUUCACUAUAAAAAAAUAGAUAUAAAGUGUUAGAAUAGGCCCCUAUGGGCUGACCAAUGGGCCUUGGCACCUAUGCCUGUGUCACUGGGCUGCCUUUAGGGAUUAUGGUAGAUGAUUAUAGAUUAGGCAAGGAUCUCCGUUGAUUGGGUGUAUUCUAUAAACCCUACUUGAUCAUUGCCUAUAUAUUGUACCUCCCUGUACUCUAUCAAUCAAUCUAUUAUUCCCUGUGCCAUAUUGACUUACAUGGUAUCGAAUGCCUAGCUCCUUUCUUCCGCUGCCCUACCUGGUCGCGCCCCGGCACUUCGCCGUGCUGCGCCCGCCCACACACCGGUCCCAUGCCGUGCAGCGCCGCCAUGCCGGCGACUCCUCUUUCUACCCCCAAGUCUAGGCCAAACCUGCCAGGAAGCUUUUACUUAAUACGUGGAGAGACAAUUUUAUUUGAUAUACUUCCUUUUUCAUUAGGGCCUUGAUGCUUUGUACUUUUCUGUUUGUACAGACCAUUCUUUCAUUCAAUUGAAAACCAAAAAAAUAUAGGUAGGGGACUCCCCUACUGAUUCGGUCAAAAAAAAGUCUAGGGAUGAGAAUGACGCCUCCUCUGUGGCUGCUAGCCUCACCAACAUCCAAACCGACGAGGUCUCCCUGCGCAUCGCCCAAGAGAAGGCCAACGAGGCUGCUGCCGCCGCUCAGCGCCUAUGCUGCCCUGGCGCGCGUCCUUCAGACCAAGGGGGAGGUCACGACUGCCGCCAAGGACCACGGCGCCAAUGCUCAGCGCACCAGCGAAGCCCUACCGUGCACUGCCAAGGAGCGUGUGGCCGUUGCCGCUCCGGAAUCCUCCGGAGCCACAUCUGAAGGUGCACCAACACCGACCACUGACCUCUGCGCCGCCGUGCUGCUUCACGAGGUUGUUGCCCUUCUACACAAAGCUCCAUUGUGCCUUUGGAGGAAGAUGCACUAGCAGCAUUCAUAUCUUUUUCCCCAAGGUUUGGUCUUUCUUCGUUUCUCUCAUGGUUGGAUUCUAAGUACCAAAUUUGUCACCGUAGUCAAAACUAGGAAACACAAUCUCCUAUACAACUAAAAAGAGUAAAAGAUGGACAUUUUUUUGGUGCGACAUUGCUUUCGUCCUGUUGGGCUGGCCGUGCGUCCGCAUCCGCGCUUAUUAGGAAACAACCAAUCGUUUUCCCCUUUUGUCGGCGCGAGCGCCGUGAUCCGCAAGGGCCGCCGCCAAGUGCUCUUUCUCCCCUUCCCCUUUUCCGAGCGCCGCCGCCAAGCGCUCUUCUCCCCUCCUCCUUUUUCGAGCGCCGUGAUCCGCAAGCGCCGCCGCUCUCGGCUGUGGCGAGAUUCCGUACCUGGACGAGAGCUCCGUCGAGACCACAAUCGCGACGAGAGUAGCGUCGGGGCCGCCGCCAAGCGCUGUUCUCGGCCGUGGUGGGAUCCCCUACCUGGACGAGAGCGCCGUCGGGAUAGGGACGAGCGUGGCAGCAGUUGGUCGUCGAAGGGCGUGGCCGCCUGGAGGGGCGCAUGUUGGCUGUCCACCCGAGGAUGCGAUGGGAUUGCACGCGGCCCAACCGGCUCCAGUAGCAGCACCUGGAUCCAUUGUGCAGGUGAGCGAUUACGAUGACUAGUGAGCGGGUGUGCAAAGGAUGGAGGAAGAUGCAGCUCUAGCGAACUCGCACUAGAUCCACGGAACGAAGGCCAAAUGCUGCAGUUGCGGCGCGGUACCUCUACGCACCCACGUCGUGUUCUUUGCCUCCUCAACCCGCCAUGCGUCCUUCGCCUCCUGGCUGCCGGUUCGCCUCCAUCAACGAGCGUUGCCCUCACCUGCUAGGCGGGGCUUGCUGAUUCAUGCCCUGAUGCCAGGUGAAGUUUCUGUUCUGCAAUUCAGUUUACCAGGAGCAGUUUGAUGGGUCUCUUAUUGGUGUGUUAUUGGGUUUAUAUUAUUGAUUGCUCUCAGACAUAUUUUAAUCCUUGUUUAAUCGCUAGCUAGCUGUUGUAACAGGUCAUGUAGGUUCAUGGAGUUUAGGUACCUGAGCGUGGAGGCAAUCCUUGUGCAAUUCAUUCUCAUGAUGCAGGUGCAGCAUGUAUUCACAUUUGUCAAAUUCACUGCAGCGUGCGAUAGUGAAUUAACUUUAUAGACUAACUAAAGAUUAGAUCCUUGCUUGUGCGACAUAUAUUAAGUAUCUCAGAUUACUUAUGUUAAUUAAAUGCUAUGCUUCCGAUAGUUUCUUUCGUAUGUCGCAUACAAGGCUUUUGCUCUUUGCAUGGUUGCAUGUUUCAGUAUGAAAUUUGUUUAUUAAAUGCUUGGACAGAGAGGUCUGGUUAUUGCUUGCUUAUUAAAUUUGUUUAUUAAAUUUUGAGGCAUGAAAUACAAUUCAUCUAUGUGUUACGAUGUUAUUGCUUGCUUAUUAGAAAAUUUUGGACACAAUGAGUCGAGGUUCAGUGCUUCCUGAUAUUAUUUAAUUUCUUGGAUAUCAGCACCAUGAGCUCUUAAUGCAAUACUUACAAGAGCCAAAAUUUUGUUUCACAGUUGAGUUGGUAUCUUCUUAAAGAACUUUGUCACAGUAUGAUCUGCUUGAUAGAUCGAUUGAGAAGCUUAGUGACACACUAUGGAAUGUAAGGACUGCUCGUGUUUAAAUCGAUGUACAUCAGCUUCAUUUGUUCUGUUUACUAAUCAUAGUGAAAUGCUACAUGAUUUUUGUGCCUCCACCUUUUUGUCCUGUGCAAAUUCGAGUUAAUAGACUCCUAGCCUUGCUUACUGAAUCAGUUUUAUAUUCAUGUUAAUAGCAAGCCACUUUUAAAAAAAAACUUAAUAGGAAAUUAUCUCUCAUUGUAAAGAUUUACUACUUAUCCUCUAAUUUUGGGAAUUUAGCAUCCUGCACUUUGGAUGUUGCUGCUGAUGACUACUCACCACAGUGCUUGUGUUGCCAUCUCUCUGCAACAUCGCUGAUCUCACCACUUGCAGUCCCGGAGCCUGCAACAGAUCGACUAUCGUGACGCACCCCACACCCAUUGUACAAUUGAGCAGCAACGAUCGAUAGUCCUCGCCGCCUCUACUUCCUCGUCGCUGUGCCGCCUGUCCAGUAUGUAACCACAACCAUGGAGCUAUUGGAAUAGUUUGGAGCAAAGACUACGAAGAUGUACUUUUAGCGAUGGCGUAAUAGUGAAAUUUUUUUGGAGUACUAAAAAUGUGCUGGCUAUUUCGUGACAUAGCUAAUGUUUCUCAAUGAUCCAUUAUUUUAGAAAAAAAUGAAAAUAAUCUUCCAUAGUAAAUAAAAUUGUUGUACAUAAAUCUCAAUACAUCUUGUUUGUGCAUCAGUAUCACUAAUCCAUUUUUUAUUUUCCAUGAGUCAGUAUAAAUCCUAAAGUAUGUGCAGGUCACCAGUGGCUUGCGACAAUUUCCUGACGCUUCUUGUAGAGAUUGUGCAGGUCAUGCUAGACAAGCGCUAUAUUUUGCAGGAGUCAUACGGUAGCUUCAAGGUGUUGUGACCGUAACUGAUAGUGCAUUCCUGAUGGUGUGGUGGUGAAGCCAAUGCAAAUUGGUGGGAGAGAUGACUUGCAGUAUAAAUGGUUUUCAAUGCUAUGAUGGUCAGAUUAGUCGAACAUUUUACAAACUUCAGCACUAUGACCAGAGAAAUGUAAUCCAUUUUAAUGCCUAGAGUUAGUGAGUGAAUCAAGUUGUGUAAUUUGGGUGACCUAUGGGAAAAA